rnacentral:rRNA from 1 species
UACGAAGGGGGCUAGCGUUGUUCGGAAUUACUGGGCGUAAAGGGCGCGUAGGCGGUCCUGAUCGUCGGAUGUGAAAGGCCUGGGCUCAACCUGGGAAUGGCAUCCGAUACGGCGGGACUGGAGUGUGGGAGAGGUUGGUGGAAUUCCCAGUGUAGAGGUGAAAUUCGUAGAUAUUGGGAAGAACACCGGUGGCGAAGGCGGCCAACUGGACCACAACUGACGCUGAGGCGCGAAAGCUAGGGGAGCAAACAGG